rnacentral:rRNA from 1 species
UAGGGAGCGAGCGUUGUCCGGAAUUACUGGGUGUAAAGGGAGCGUAGGCGGGACAGCAAGUCAGGUGUGAAAUAUACGGGCUCAACCCGUAAACUGCACUUGAAACUGUUGUUCUUGAGUGAUGAAGAGGCAGGCGGAAUUCCCGGUGUAGCGGUGAAAUGCGUAGAUAUCGGGAGGAACAUCAGUGGCGAAGGCGGCCUGCUGGGCAUUAACUGACGCUGAGGCUCGAAAGCGUGGGGAGCAAA